CAGUUACUGCCCUACAAACAGUUAUUAUGUCAAUACUUUUCCUCGCUGGUCUGUAGCACGCUCAGUAGUCAUGUUAGUAACUGUGUCAACAGAUUUCAACUCGUCUCCUUCCAAAAGGCAAAAUGAGGGAUGGGCACACAACACGUCAUCCAACUUUACAUAAAAUGGGAGCUGCCUAUAACAAAUAUGCACGUGCUGAACCCACUAAGUACCUACCAGACGCCCACUGAGACCCCCUCCUCUGUGUCGAGGUAGAAGUUGCAUGUGUGGUUCAGCACGUCUUCAGGUCUGCUGAGAUCCACCAUGAAUGGAAAACUUACUGCAGCAGGCAAGAAAACAAACGAAUCCAAAGGAGUGGACGAAGAUGGUGACCAGCGACAGAACCAUCACAUGACGCCACAGAGGUGUGGGGCGUGUAGCCG